rnacentral:rRNA from 1 species
UACAGAGGUCCCAAGCGUUUGUUCGGAUUCACUGGGCGUAAAGGGUGCGUAGGUGGUUAGGUAAGUCCGGUGUGAAAUCUCCAGGCUCAACCUGGAAAUGGCAUUGGAUACUAUUUAGCUUGAGGAGUGGAGGGGGGACUGGAAUUCUCGGUGUAGCAGUGAAAUGCGUAGAUAUCGAGAGGAACACCAGUGGCGAAGGCGAGUCCCUGGACAACUUCCUGACACUGGAGGCACGAAAGCUAGGGGAGCAAACAGG